UGUUUCAUAGAAUUGGUGGUUAGUAUGACUGCCUGCCACGCAGAAGGUUCCGGGUUCAAUUCCCGGUGGGGUUA